UUUCCUUGUGAUGAGGACAAAUUGCCUUUUCCAAGACUGAGCCUUUGUUAACGAUUUUGAAAACCAUGUUUGAAGCAAGCUGCUUUUCUGAAGAAAGCCUGAAUAAUGGUUGCACCAACCCUACAUUCUUGUAGGUGUUGGCAAGCAACACUGCUGUAACUUUGGAAUAAAGCAGAGUAACCACCACGCUGUAGUCUGGGGAGUCAAAACUGAGAGAGAAAAAUGAAGUGUUGCUGAAGGAGCUGCAGUAAUCAGGAGAGACUGGACAUGAGCAGCUUUCUCAAAUAAAUGGUCUCAGCUCUGCAGAAACACUUUCUGGUUGAGUCUUGUGUUGCAGAAGCAGUGGGAUGGCUUAUGGGAACUGUGGCUCAGGCUUUGACCCUGAAACUGCACGUCUGGAUGGUCCAGGGUCAUUUUACUUGGAGAUGGCUGUAUCCUGUGAGCUGCUUGUGAAAACAUGUUUCCCAGCCGCCUCCUAGGGAGAUGUGGGUUGCCUCAGACAAGACCCUCUCCAGCAUCUUUAGCUUAGCAGAAAAGCUCGGUGUGAGGCUGGAUGUGAAUAAUAAACUGCUCUUUCUCAUAAAUAUACCCAUAAAUGUGUAAAUGUAUGUGUUAGUGGGAAGAUGAGGGAAGGUUAGCGCAGUGAGCACUGCUGGAGAGGUCUUACAGACUGUUGUUACCAAUUCCAGGCAUGCCUCAGUCUGGCAAAGUGACACUUCCUGUGCGCCUUGGGAAGGGAAAACUUUGAGACAGAAGAGGACAGUGCUGGACUAAGGUGGUAAGACCUGGAAAGAAGCAGCACUUGGGUAUCUUAACACAGCUCCUGUACUGAGAGGGCUACGUUAAAAAUACCUGUUUCAGAAAAAGCUUUCAGUAAGCAUUUAUUCUUAAGAGCUUGUCAGAUCAAGGCCAUAUGCAUAUGCAGAGGCUUUUUCUGAUCUAGGCAAGGAAAUAGAGGACAAGAACAGGUUUAUGGUGUGAGCUACUUAAACAUACAUUUUUGUCCUCAAGCUCUAAUUCCUGUGGCCGGAAAACAUUUUGUUGUUAUACUUCUGGUCUUGUUUAGCAUAACUACUGUUUCAAUAUGUAGAAAGUUUAGUGCUCCAAUGUCCAAGCUCCCUUCUAACACUGGCAUGUGAGGAGACCUAACCUGUGCAAGUUGUGGAUUGCUCAUGCUUUGGGUUAUUGCAAAGCUUGGUUUAUACAGGCAGCCCAGGAGUCCCCACUGCCUUGAUAGUCACCUCUGCUUGCUGCUGAGUUGCUCUCAUUUGAAUCAGUUAAAAUCUUUCUACUUGUCUGUCUUAGCCUGAACUUUCUGCUGAACACAUAUCCUGUAGGAACAGGCACUUUUCCACCCUCAGGGUGAAGGUGGUUCUCAGUUAUGGAGCUCAGCUGCUUUGCACCAGUGAAGUGCCCAGAAUGCGCCCAGGUUGUGCUAUAACUGGUGGCCAGAUCCGAUGAGCAGAUGCUGCUCUGCCUGCCCUGGCUGGCUUCAGGAGGAAUUGUGUCUGAGGGCAGGAUUUUGGCUGUGAGCCUUGAGGUGAAGAGCUGGGCUACAGAUCUGGCCGCUUGCCUGAGUGGUUUCCAGGCAGACAUUGCAUUUUUAUUGUCUUGGAUAUUCUGCUUUGGAGGUCAGUUGAGAAAGCAGAAUGGGGCUGUCACUUGGCAGAGCAGAAAGGUGCAGGCAAAAUUGAAUGUGGUGAUAUGCUGUGUAUAAUGCUGUCAGGGCAGCACCUGAGGUAGCAUCUACCUGUGCUAACCCAGAGGUAACAGCAGGCUGUUUCUGCCAAGCUCUCUUUUGUUUCCCAGGCUGUACUGACCUUACUCUUGGCAGAUGGCCACUUUCCCUGCUCCAGCCCAACCACGCCACCCGUCACGGAGAGCAACGCAAUCAGGCAAAGAGGAAAGGUGACUUCACUUUUCUGGGAAAAGCUUGAAUUUCUCAUUGCCUGCCACAAGACCUCUGGCAACGACCUUAUCUACCCUCUCCAAGUUGAGAGCACAGAAUCACCCCCUGCACUUGGCUGGGUCGCUACAAGCCACUGCUGUGCACAGAAUGGCAAUUUUGGUUGCUGUGGUUGCUUUCCCUUGAGAUAUUUCCAUCCCUACUGCCUCCAGGAGCAAUGGUGAGGCAUGUAUAAUGGGGAAUUGACAGAGGCUGAUUUACAGGGAACUUUGGGGUGUCUGAUUUGUGCUUCAUUGCUCUGGUUUGGGCAGUGACAAGGUGCCAUAAAACCAUCAGGUAGUAUAUCAGUGUACACUUUAAAGAUUUCACUGGGUACACCUCCUUUAGUACCAAUGAAACAGCUACACUGAGAUCUCUUGUACACAGCUCUUGAUGAAGUUUCCAACCCCAUGGUAUUCUUUGUAGUUGACAGAAGUGCUAAAGCACUUUUUCCUGCAGGGGCAGGUUGGCCUAGGUAUCCAGGCUACCAGUUUCUUCUACCCUCACGUCUGCAUGUUAUGCUGUCAGCUGCACCUCUUCCUCUCCCCAGCUCAGACGGAGAGUUAUUACAGCUUUUCUGCGUUCACAGCCUGUGACAGGGGUGUUCAGAGCUGUUGGUUCUUCCUUUGGAGUCACUCCUGGAAGGAAGAGGCUGUGCCUGCAGGUUGGGAGGGUUGAAGUUAUCACUGAUUGUAAAGCCUUAGAAAGAGCAAAGGGGAGGAAGAGCACUGAGAAGCCUGCUGGAGUGUGCUUGGCUCUUCAGCUGCGCCCUUUCCAGGAGUGGAUGCAGAAAGCUAUUGCCAGGGGAACGGUGGUGGUGGUUUAUGACCAGGCAGCAUAGUACCGCUGGAAGAGGCUGCCAGAGGCACAGCAGGGGAGCUGAAAAGCCACCCUGCUGUUCAGAGUUGCCACUUCCUGAUACCAGAAUGUAUCUGUGCAUCUGUGUCCAUAUCUGAUGAGAACUAAAAUCCCAACAAACAUCAAGCAGCCAGAAGGGAGACAAUUUCCUUUCCCCUUGUGAAGCAUCUCUGCAAGCCCCAGACAGUCCAGCUGCAUCCCUCCCAACUUCUUGCCUCCUCCUCAGACCUCAUUUUCCUGGGGAAAGGCCUCUACUGUUGGCCCCAUGGCUUUCUCCUAUCCCUGCACAGCAGCAUUUCAGUGAUCUGGAGGGUAGUCCAGUAUUUCAUGCUUCCUUCUGGCAGGUGCAGCCCAGAAACAACAUCCCAAGGGCACAGGGGAUGGAGGUGGUUUCCUGUCUCCAUGCUGAGGAGCACCAUGGCUCUAUCUUGCAGCCGUCACCCACACCAGUGCUUGGCUUUGCCUGGAUGGGACACUGUGAAACAGGAUGAUUCUCUGUGCUGGGCAUCUGUGGGUGAAGGUGCCUCCUGGCUCCAGCGAGCCAUAAGCUGCUCCACGGAUCUGCAGCGAUGGAUAGGGACACCAGAGGCUGUGUCACAGCAGCUUCCUUGUGCCUCCCCUCCUUCCCAAACACAGGCACCAUUUGACUUCCCUUCCCUUUCAGAUCAGUGCCCUGCAGACAUUGCAGUGGGUUAAAUUGCAGGGCAGCUAAAGAGCAUGCUUCAGGAUUAGAGAUGAAUGGGUUGAACCAUAAUCAUAGCGUACAGUAUCCAGAGUCUCGGUGGACAUUGCAAGUUGAUCACUGGCCAGAUGCAGAAGCUGUUUGGUGAGAAAGCAGUAUGUGCCAUCCUGAAGCAGAAUAUUACCCAGUGGAGUUCUCUGGGCUGAGACAAAAAUCAAAGCCCAGUGCACCAAGGGGAUGUUAGAAAUCAGUGCUGAAUGGGCCUGAUCCAGAUCUGGCCUGGAGGCUUUUGACACCCCCAUACUGAAAAGACAGUGAGCACACUCAGCAUGUAAAAGGAUUGAGUUUCCGCUUUGAAAGGGGAAGGAGUCUUCAUCUGCUGUGGUUUGUUCACAUGCUCUAGGGUUUUUGUAUUUCUUGUAACCAUUUUUGCCUUAUGGCUGUGGCUGUUCACAUAAGGAUUGGCCUCUCUCUCCUGGUUUUCAAAGUCAGAAUGCAAAGCAGUGCUGUCAGGAGAGCACUGCAGUGACUCUCAGAGCAGUAUGGUGAGGGGUGAAAGCUUCCAGAGGCAGACAGGUAUAACCUCAGUGUUACUAGUGGGAAACAUGAUUUCCUUUGGGUCCCACUGACAGCUCUGAACCCAUCUGGAUCUUACCGCUCCCUCUGCUGUCUUUGGAGUCCUCACUUCUGCCUGAAAUGAUCUGUAUGUUUCUGAACCUCUUAGCAAGGGCAGUUAUCAUUGCUAUUCUGUUGAGUGUUCAGCUUCUGGUAUAAACAGUCUCUGAUCAUAUUAGUAGGCUCUCAGGUACUUCUAUAUUACAAAUAAUAAAUAAUAAUGAGCUGCAAGGAAAGACCUCUGAGUUUUGGGCUCAGGCUGGACAUGGCUUCCACAUGAGGUGUCCACUUUAUAGCUCUUUCUGGGCUGCUGUUACUAGCAGUGCCGCAAUGCUGCUGGGGAGAGGCCUGAGAAGAGGGUCCAGCAGCCUUUGGAGAUGCUGUCAGCAGACAGGAGGAAUACACAUUUGUGUGCUGUGUCUCUGGGUUGGUGACCUUUUAAUGACUGAGUUAGAUCACACUAAGGUAAUUUGUAGGAAACCUUAAAAUAAAAUAGGAGAAUAUUGGCAUGGUUCAGCAGAUGGUAACGAGGGACUGGUUUGUGUUAUUACACACAUUACUCUGGACAAUGUGUUGGUUUGUCUUUAGCCAGCAAGGGCCCCUUUAAGAAGAGCUGGCAUUGCAGCACAGGUGACACACACAGUGAGGGGGGCUUUGCUGUGCACAGCUCUUCUGCAGCACCACAGCAAGCACCAGUGGCACUUGGUCCCUGGGGGAAGGAGAGGGCUCUCCAGAAAGCAGGGGUUAGAGCAGUCUCGUUGGGUUAUCUUCACAGACUUUUCACAGAUGAAGGAAAUGCAAGGCAUUGAAAGCAAAGCCUGUCUUCUGCUGGAAGCUGCAGGACUCUUACUUUCACAUCCUCUUGGGGAUCCUCUUAGUCCUGUGCCUUACAAGAAGCUGCUGAAGACGUGGCUCUCACAGUCAAGUGCAAAUGUGUGAAUAAGGAAAUGCUGGAGUGCAGGCAAGCAAGCUGGAGGCUCAGAGCCUAGCAGAGUGGGUCAUGCUGGGCGCAUGUGAAUGUCCUGGCUAUGCUGCUGCUCACUUGAUGGACAGCUUUUCAUGUUCCCCAAGAGGUGUGUGAAGAAUAAAAUACCUGGCUUGGCAAAAGCACGCACAUACCCCACAGCAGUGGCCAGGCAUCCUACAAAGAGACUGGAGCCAAACUCAACCCCAGCCAAGAGUCCCUGCUGUGAUUUAUCAGUCAGGCUCUGCUGGUGUGACACAGGGACAUCACCUGGGUAUUGCAGCAUUUUCCCCUCUAAAGAACAUCUCUUUGCAGACUGUUGUUGUACAAAAAGAAAAAUGAAAGAUGGAAAUGGCUUUUCCUUGGGGAAAAAAAAAAAGAAA